rnacentral:rRNA from 1 species
GACGAACGCUGGCGGCGUGCUUAACACAUGCCAGUCGAACGGAAAGGCCCUGCUUUUGUGGGGUGCUCGAGUGGCGAACGGGUGAGUAACACGUGAGUAACCUGCCCUUGACUUUGGGAUAACUUCAGGAAACUGGGGCUAAUACCGGAUAGGAGCUCCUGCUGCAUGGUGGGGGUUGGAAAGUUUCGGCGGUUGGGGAUGGACUCGCGGCUUAUCAGCUUGUUGGUGGGGUAGUGGCUUACCAAGGCUUUGACGGGUAGCCGGCCUGAGAGGGUGACCGGCCACAUUGGGACUGAGAGACGGCCCAGACUCCUACGGGAGGCAGCAGGGGGGAAUAUUGCACAAUGGGCGGAAGCCGGAUGCAGCAACGCCGCGUGUGGGAUGACGGCCUUCGGGUUGUAAACCGCUUUCGCCUGUGACGAAGCGUGAGUGACGGUAAUGGGUAAAGAAGCACCGGCUAACUACGUG